rnacentral:lncRNA from 1 species
AUACAACCGCAAAAGGUUCUUAUCCAUUUUGAAGGUGUUGUUUUCUUUGAGAAUAUCUUCAUUUGUGACUUUAACUUUUGUUGGAAAAUAGCCACAUCACUUCACAAUGAAUCUAUUAUCUUUCAUAGUGUCAAAUAGUAUUUCAUUUGUUGACGGGAAUUAAUUAAAGUCAUGUGUGAUGCCAUCUUUAAAAUCGGCGCGCGAUAAUUUAGCUUUAUAGCAGUUUUGUAUAGUUUACACACAAUUUUUUUUAAAUCAUCAAUGCUUUCAAAUGAUUUGUCAACCCACGAUAAUUUUAUAAAUUGUAUGGUAUAAAUGUUACAAUACUCGUCUCAUGAUACUUUAUACUUAACAUAUGUUAUACUCGCACACUGUGAUAAACACAAAUAAGAACCCACGUUAUAUAAUGCUUGACUCUCAAAAUUUCCAUACAGGUUCUUAUUAUAAUUUUUAAUUCAAUUGACAUUUCUAUCGUUUAACGGCCUAACUGGUAUUUUAAAAAGUUUUUGAAUUAUGUCGCUUUUGUACAUUUAAUAUGUGUUACAUUGUAGUGUUGUGUCGUUGUUCUCCUCUUAUAUUUGAUGCGUUUCCCUUGGUUUUAGUUUGUUGCCCCGAUUUUGUUUUUGGUCCAUGGAUUUAUCAGUUUGAACAGCGGUAUACUACUGUUGCCUUUAUUUGUCACCAUUCUAUAUGCAGUAGUAUAUUGUUCAUAGAAGAUGUUAAAGCUCGCUGUGAUAGAAUAUCCCGUGUUUAUUUGGAUGAACGUUUAUCAAAUACACAUUUGACAAGUGUAAUCCAAUGGAACAAAAUAUAUUUAAGUUACUAAGUAAUGCAUUGUAUCUUUUCGAUGUCAGACAGUAAUUUUGGCAGUUUUUACAGUUAAAUAUUGCAGUUUGAACCCUGUUAAAAAUACGUCAGAUAAAAAUUAUAAUUGUAUAAAAACUCACAAGCCUUGUGCACAUCAAAAGGGUGUUACAUUUUAUUUUUAAAUAUCUAUCAAGUGAUUUUGUUUGGUUCUUCUGAUAUUAAGUCAUAACUCGAGUUUUAUGAAAGCUUAAUAAGGUAGACAAGGGAGGGGUUGUCUUAAUUACAGACGCAUGAUUUUUUGGAUUUAAUAUAUGUGUUAUUGGUAGUUCUACAUAAUUGUAAAAAACAGUUAUUAUCGGUAUUACCAGAAGUCUAUGACUAAGGCUCUAGUAAAAGACUUUUGAUAGUAUCACGUCGAUGAUGCUAUGAGACAGACAGUUAUUUUUUGUUUGUCUGGCUUAAAAUAUCAUACGCAAUCAAAUGCUUCCAGGAGCAUAAAUCGAUCAUCGGCAAGGACGGAAUAUUCUAAACUAAAUAUAUUAAGAUUAAUGUGGCCAGUUUAUUACUUUUAAAAUAUGUGAUGUCUUUAGUAAAAGGUGUUCUGUGUAAAUCGAACGUAUUUUGUAAACCUUUUGACAAUACUGUUCGUAAUCGCUACAUUUGUUUAAAGGCAAAUGUAUUUGCUUUUUUCUGUUUGUCAUAUAUCGUUAUUUAUUAUUUUAUUUGUUUUGCAAUUAGAUGACAAGUACAGUUCAGUAAACAAUUAUAAAAUUAGUACAUGUGUAUGUAGAUUUUACGUUAUUUUAUUCAUGUUUUAUGUUUUCCUAAGAGUUUAUGGGGCAUUAGCUACAAAUCAGACAAAAAAUUGUUAAAAAAAUGUGUAUAAAGGCUGAAUAUACAAUACUAUUUCGACAUUAGCUGCCAGUUUGGUUCAAUUUUGUCAAAAUAAACCAAACCACGUCGUUGAUGUAUUGUUGACUUGCAAGUCAAUGAUUCAACUCAGUUAAAUCUGUAUUUCUUGCAACCUUUGAUCUAACCUUUAGUAGAGAUGAGUUGCGAAUAUGUUUCGCAUGUGGUUCAUUCAUUGUAGAGGAAAUACAGUCAACAUUGAAAUGUGAAACAAUGGAGCAAUAAGGAAUAACCAUUUUCUUACUAAUCCGUAGCACAACAAAUUGUUCUCAUAUAUAGGUAAAACGAUGACAUACAUAUCAUUUUUAAUGUAUAACAUAAAAUCAAACAUUAAUGUCUGGUAAAAUAGUUAUUAUACGAUUGCACAAUCUUGCUAUUCUUUUAUUUUUGAAUUUGUUUAUCUGAUUAUCGGCAGUCUUCGGAUUUCAUCUGGCAUCUAGAUAAAAAUACGCACGAAAUGCCAAUACAAUAUUACGAGAAAAUAGAAUCGAUAAUGGAAACGGGGAAUACAUUGAUUAUUGUUUCUUUUGUAAUUUGAAAAUAUGAUAUAAAUCAAAUUUGAGAAUGAAUUUGACAGCUAUUGCCCAUUUAAGUCAUAUAUACUUUUAAUCACAAAAUUAUUUAUGCAAUAUUAACAAGCGUAAAAGUUCAAUUAAAAUAAAUAAAAAUCAAACUUAAUAUUACAUGAUUUGCUAGUUGAUUGGAUAAAACUGUUCAUCUUUU